rnacentral:misc_RNA from 1 species
AUAUAGUAUUAAAUUCACCAAAUCCCAUAAAACAGAGCAUGCAGACAAUAAAAACAAUGGGAAAUCAUAAAAUAAUUUUCUAUAAUUCAAAAUUUUUGUCAAAGUUUUACGUUGUAAUUUUAAAUAAGCUUCCUUAAGUUAGCUAGUCGUAUAAGGAAAGCAUUUUGAAAUGGUGUUAUUAUAUAGCAGUUUCUGAAUCAUGCAUUUCACGAAUUGGGUUUCUCUUGCCUUUCUUGUUUUUGCGGUCUUGCUCUUCUAUAGCUACCAAACACCCCUCUUUUUUUCUUCCAGGAACAUGGCUCAAGAAUCUCCCAAGUCUAUCUAUGAUUUCACUGUCAAGGAUAUUCAGGGAAAUGAUGUGAGUCUGAGCAAAUACAGUGGGAAGGUUCUCCUGAUUGUGAAUGUUGCUUCCAAAUGUGGCUUUACGCAAUCAAACUACAAGGAAUUGAAUGUCUUGUAUGAAAAGUACAAAAACCAAGGUUUUGAAAUCCUGGCAUUUCCUUGCAACCAGUUUGCUGGACAAGAACCAGGAAGCAAUGAGGAGAUUCAAGAAGUUGCAUGCACAAUGUUCAAAGCUGAAUUCCCAAUCUUUGAUAAGAUCGAGGUAAAUGGGAAGAACACAGCGCCCCUCUACAAGUACCUAAAAUCAGAAAAAGGUGGAUUAUUUGUAGAUGCCAUCAAGUGGAAUUUCACAAAAUUUUUAGUGAACAAGGAGGGAAAGGUUGUGGAGCGAUAUGCUCCGACUACAUCACCCCUUAAAAUUGAGAAAGACAUACAGAAUCUGUUGGGAUCUUCUUAAAGACCAAGAUUGAGAUCUUCCAUGGUAGAGAAUAGCUAUACAUUUCAGUGUGUAAUCUAUAUGUUUGGUGGAUUUGAAUCACAAGUUCAUAUGAUCAUGUUGCCUGAAUUAUCAGAAUGCACAUCUGUACUUUUAUCAUCAAUAAGAUGACUUGUAUACUUACAGGUGAUUGUCUAGAGAUGUUUAUGUUUGUUUUGAGAACUAUAGAAUUAGAAUAGUAUCUUCACAGUUGAUACUGAUUUUUAUUUUCUUUAAUCCAAGAAACCCAG